rnacentral:rRNA from 1 species
GAUGAACGCUAGCUACAGGCUUAACACAUGCAAGUCGAGGGGCAGCGCAGUGUAGCAAUACAUGGGCGGCGACCGGCGCACGGGUGCGUAACGCGUAUGUAACCUACCCUUAACAGGGGGAUAACACUGAGAAAUUGGUACUAAUACCCCAUAACACUUCGGAGGGCAUCCUCUGGAGUUGAAAGUUCCGGCGGUUAAGGAUGGACAUGCGUUGUAUUAGCUAGAUGGUGAGGUAACGGCUCACCAUGGCGACGAUACAUAGGGGGACUGAGAGGUUAACCCCCCACACUGGUACUGAGACACGGACCAGACUCCUACGGGAGGCAGCAGUGAGGAAUAUUGGUCAAUGGACGCAAGUCUGAACCAGCCAUGCCGCGUGUAGGAUGACGGCUCUAUGAGUUGUAAACUGCUUUUGUACAAGGGUAAACCCUGGGACGUGUCCCAGGCUGAAGUACUGUACGAAUAAGGAUCGGCUAACUCCGUGCCAGCAGCCGCGG